CUCUCUCACUGGCAGCAACCCAGCGCUUCCAUUGCUGACCUCUACCGACCUCUACCUGUGGUCCUUCCUCUACUGCAGCAGAGACACUGUUUUCUUCCUUUGUUCUUCCAACCCCAUGGCACAGAAACACUCUCCACUGCGGCCAAGGAUUGCAGGAGAGGUGGCAUCAGUGAUUCAAGACUUCUUUUCCUACCUCUUCAGUGUUUCUUUCAGUGAUCUGAAGUUAAAGCCAGGGGGAAUAUCACAGAAGUGAAGUGCAAUUCUCAUCAUGUCAUAUCAAGAGCACACACUAACAAACAACAUGACUUAUUGCUGAAUAUUGAACUUGAUCACCUGGCUGAGGUAGUGUUUGCCAGAUUUCUCUGUAAAGGUGAAUAAACUGACACUGGAACAUUCAGGAACUUCUUCAUGGUCAUGGUCACCCAGCUAGAGUGUGGAAGCCAGGCUGUCUGAUUCCAGGAUCUGUGUUCUUAAUCCUAUACAUAAGGAAGCCAUAAUGAGUCAACCACUAUUUUUAAGAUUCACAGAUGUUCGGGUCCAAUUCACCAGAAUGCCAAGUUAUACAGGGUUGUGGAAUCAAAAACUGCAAUUAGUAAUAAAAUGUGAUGCUAUCUAGAAUGUUUUUCAUACAUAUAUAUGCUUCUUGGGACUCUCCCUGCAGGUUAAGAGAAAUUGAGAAACGAUGGAGAAUUUAAGUGUUUUAGAUCCUACAUACAUUAGACUUAAAAAUAGUAACUAUGUACAUGAGUAUUUGUAAACUUAAGAAUGAACAUAACAUGAACCAUGUGGCACCUAUAAAAUGAAAAUAAAAUACCUACAAACCAAAUGAGAGCAAUAAAAGAAGCUUUAAGGACUUUCACUUCAGGGAGUCUGAAUUAGAUGCGCUUCUUCCCAUUCCUCCCUCUAAUUACAACAAGCUUGGACGUUACAUACAGAACAAACAGAAGGAGUCUCUGAAAGAUGAAGAGAAGGCAAGUAAGCUACAGACUUCACAAUGUAAGGAAUAAUAUGGUGGUGAGUUACAUUUGUGAUUUUUUUUUGUCUCAUAUCCCAUAAUAUCUCAUAUCUCAUAAUCAGUUAGAAAGCACAAUGGAAAAGUAUUCCACUGCCAAUGGUGUUAGAGAACUGCUCACAAAUUCAACAGAAAUGCACAGAUACCAAAGCAGAAAGGACAAUAAACAAGAGUCUUCAUGGUCAAAAGAUUAGAAGCUGCAGCUUUCAAUGGGAGGGACAGGUUCUGGACCACACUGCAGUGCUUUUCUGCUUUCUGUGCUUUCCCACUCUAGAGCUGAAGAAGGUAACGACCCCAAAAUGUCAAUAUACGUAGACCAAAAACCAGCCCCAAUAAAAGUCUGCUCUCUCUAGCCAAAGGACUACAGUAGGGCAGCCCAGCAAGACAGAAAACCUUCAGACAACCUACCCCAGCCAAACACUACCAAAAAAAGUAAAGUGAGCCAUCACCCAAUCCACAUCAGUAAAAACUAAGUGGAAAGUCCAGACUUUCACCUCAAGAGGUUGCGACAAGCUACUCCAAUACCCCUGCUGGGAUAGUGUCACAGAAGGCUAAAUAAGGAGCUGUAAUGUUGAUUCCCCUCCAGAAGUAAAGAGUCCGUACCUGCUAUUUUCAGAGAGACCACAUGGAAAGCCUAGAUUUCAACACCUACCCAGCAUUAAUGAGGUAUUCCUUCCCUUCUUUACUCUCUGGUGUCAAAGAAGCUCCAUGCAGAGUCAGAAUGUUUGGCAUUACUCCUCAGUAGGGAGGCCACCCCCACCACGGUGUUAGUGGAGACCAUGUGAGGACCAGGACUUGUACCCUGCCCAGAAGUAAUGAGUAGACCCCCCUCUACAGGAAGGCCAAAGGGCAACCUAAACUUCUACCUCUCUCUGGCAGUAAUAAAGUAGGGCCUCACUUUUCCCUGCUGAGCAAUGUCAAAAAAAAAAGCCAGCUGAAGUAAAAGCUUAUUUCUUUCUUUCUUUAUACAUAUUUUUGGAGACAGGGUCUUAUUCUGUCACCCACGCUGGAGUACAGUGGCCUCAUCAGGUCUCACUGCAGCCUCAACCUCCUGGGCUCAAGCAAUCCUCCCACCUCAGCCUCUUGAGUAGCUGAGACCACAGAUGUGCACCACCACACAUAGCUAACAUUAACAUUUUUUCUAGAGAUGGGGUCUUCCUGUGUUGCCCAGGCUGGUCUGGAACUCCUGGGCUCAAGUGAUCCUCCCACCUUGACCUCCUGGAGGGCUGGGAUUACAGGUAUGAGUCAUCACUCCAGGCUGAAGCUUUAUAUAAUAACCAGAGUCUCAUAUUACAAAAUGUCAAAGAUUCAGUCAAAAGUUACUUGAUAUCAAUGGACAAGAUCUCAAACUAAAUGAAAAAAAGACAAUUAAUAGAUGCUAACACUGAGAUAACAAAGUUGUUAGAAUCAUCUAACAAAGAUUUUAAAGCAGCUAUAAUAAAAGUGCUACUGCAAGUGAUUAUAAACAUGCUUGAGACAAAUGAAAAAGUGCUAUAAAGCUAAGAAAUAAAAUAUAUAAAUAAGAAUCAAAGAGAAAUUAUAGAACUAAAAGAUACCAUAACUGAAAUGCAAAGCUCCGUGGAUGGACUCAACAACAGAAUGGAAAAGACUGAGGAAAGAAGUAGUUUACAGGAAAUUAGAAUAGACUAGAAAAAAUGAACAAGACCCUGUGCUAAAGAGCAAAUAUUUAUGUCAUUGGAUUCCAGGAAAGAGAAAAGAAUGAAAAAGUACUUAAAUAAUGGCUUAAAAACUUCUCACAUUUUGCAAAGAUUUAAACCUACAAUUUGAGAAGCUGGGUAAACCUUAAACAGGAUAAAUCAAGGACACUCACACCAAGAAACAUAGUAAUUAAACUUCUGAUUAAGGAAGAAAAAGAAAAAUCUGGAAAGCAGCAAGAAAAAAAUGACACACUUUCUAUAUGGUAAAAGCAAUUUGAACAACAGAAGAUUUCUCAUCAGAAACUGUGGGGACCAUGAGGAAGUAACAGAUAUUUUUCAAGUGCUGAAAUAAAUCAACUGUCAAUACAAAAUGCUCUACUCAGUGAAAAUAUCUUUCAGGAAUAAAGGGGAAAUCAGGACACGCACAGACUUUUUUUAAAUUAAGAAUUUAUUGUCAGCUUAUCUCCCUAAAAGAAUGGCUAACAUUCUCCAAACACGAAGGAAAUUGAUAAGGAAUCUUGAAAUUUCAGUUAGAAACAAUGAAUAUGGCAAGCAAAAUGUAGGUCAGUACACUAAGUUUAAUUUCUCCUCUUGAAUUUUCUAAAUUAUGACUUAUGAUUGAAGCAAAAAUCAUAACAUUAUCUGAUGUAUAUGUAGAGGAAAGAUUUAAGACAGUGAUGUUAUAAAUGAGGGGAGUAAAGGAACAUGAGAUAACCACUAAUAUGACAUACCAAUAGACUAUGAUAAAUUAUGUGUCUAAUGUGAUUACUAGAAAAACCAGUUAAAAUAUAAAGAUUGACGGAGUGAAUUUAAAAACAUGACACACUAUAUGCUGUUUAUCAUAAACUCACUUUGAAGAUAAUGCCAUCGUCAGGUUGAAAUCAAAAGGAAUAAAAUAGUGUAUUAUGUAAACCAUCAAAAAGAGCAGGAAUGGCCAUAUUAAUAACAUUAAAGUCAGCUUCAGAACUAAGGAAAUUAUCAGAGAGGGACAUUAUAUAAUGAAAUAGUCGAUUUACCAAAAGAACAUAGCAAUCAUAAAUGUGCAUGAAGCAAACAACAAAGCUGGAAAAUAUAUGAAGUGAAACUGAUAGAUCUAAAAGGAGAAACAGAUAAAUCCAUUCAUUAUAGUUGGGGCCUUUAUCACCCCUCACUCAACAAUUGAUAGAACUGGACAGAAAACCAGUAAGAAUAUAAAAGAACUCAACAACAUGAGACAAUAGGAUCUAGUUGAUAUUUAUAGAACAUUCCAACAGCAGAAUACAUGUUCUUCAAGUGCUCACAGAACACACAUAUAAAGAUAGACCCUGAGCAUAAAACAAGCCUCAACAAAUUUAAAAGAACUGAAAUACUACAAGUACUUUCUCCAACCACAAAAGAACCAAACUAGAAAUAAAUAACAAUGAUAAUGGGAAAAUCACCAAACACUUGAAAACUGAACAACAAUAUUUUAUAACCCAUGGUCAUAGAGGAAAUCUCAAAAGAAAUUUUAAAAAUGCACUGAACUGAAUGAAAAUGAAAACAACAUAAAAUUUGUGAGACACAUAAAGCAGAACUGAUGGGAAAAUAUAUAGCACUAAAUGCAUGCUCUAGAAAAGAAAAGUCUUCAACCAGUAACCUAAGCUUCCACCUCAAAAACCUAAAAAAAGAAGGAAAAAUAGACCCAAUGCCAGCAGAAAGAUGCAAUAACAAAGAGUAGAACUCAAUGAAAUUGAAAACAGAUAAACACUUUAAAGAAUAAAACAAAGAGCUGGUUAUUAGAAAAGAUCAAUUAAUUGAUAAACCUCAAGCAAGACCGUCAAAAAAAAAAAAAAAAGGACUUACCUAUACCAGAGAUGAAAUGGGAUAUCGCUAUCAAUACUGCAAACAUCAAAAGGAUAAGUAGAUACUAUGAACUGUACACA
rnacentral:lncRNA from 1 species